AUGAAUUCUACUUAUACCAGCGCAACACCACCACCGCCUCAUACCACCACAGCACCACCACCGCCUCAUACAAUCGCAACACCUUCCCCGCCUCUUACAACCCCAACACCUCCACUGCCUCAGACAAUUGAAGCAACAUCACAGCCUCAGACAACCGACACAUCACCGACAUUUGAGGAAUCCACAUUUGUUCCUACUCCUGGAGUGACAAAUCAUGUUUUGUAA